rnacentral:rRNA from 1 species
ACGGAAGGCAGCAGUGGGGAAUAUUGCACAAUGGGGGAAACCCUGAUGCAGCGACGCCGCGUGAGUGAAGAAGUAUUUCGGUAUGUAAAGCUCUAUCAGCAGGGAAGAAAAAGGACGGUACCUGACUAAGAAGCCCCGGCUAACUACGUGCCAGCAGCCGCGGUAAUACGUAGGGGGCAAGCGUUAUCCGGAUUUACUGGGUGUAAAGGGAGUGUAGGUGGCCUGGCAAGCCAGAUGUGAAAGCCCGCGGCUCAACCGCGGGACUGCAUUUGGAACUGUUAGGCUUGAGUGCAGGAGAGGAAAGUGGAAUUCCUAGUGUAGCGGUGAAAUGCGUAGAUAUUAGGAGGAACACCAGUGGCGAAGGCGGCUUUCUGGACUGUAACUGACACUGAGGCUCGAAAGCGUGGGGAGCAAACAGGAUUAGAUACCCUGGUA